UGUAAUGAGCAAUUUAGUGGGCAACUUC
rnacentral:sRNA from 1 species